rnacentral:rRNA from 2 species
UAAGGAAUAUUGGACAAUGGGCGAAAGCCUGAUCCAGCCAUGCCGCGUGAAGGAUGAAGGUCCUCUGGAUUGUAAACUUCUUUUAUUUGGGACGAAAAAAGGGAAUUCUUUCCCACUUGACGGUACCAGAUGAAUAAGCACCGGCUAACUCCGUGCCAGCAGCCGCGGUAAUACGGAGGGUGCAAGCGUUAUCCGGAUUCACUGGGUUUAAAGGGUGCGUAGGCGGGUAGUUAAGUCAGUGGUGAAAUCCUGGAGCUCAACUCCAGAACUGCCAUUGAUACUAUCUAUCUUGAAUAUUGUGGAGGUAAGCGGAAUAUGUCAUGUAGCGGUGAAAUGCUUAGAUAUGACAUAGAACACCCAUUGCGAAGGCAGCUUACUACACAUAUAUUGACGCUGAGGCACGAAAGCGUGGGGAUCAAACAGG